CGGACGGGUGAGUAACGCGUGGAAAACCUGCCGUAUACUGGGGGAUAACACUUAGAAAUAGGUGCUAAUACCGCAUAAGCGCACAGCUUCGCAUGAAGCGGUGUGAAAAACUCUGGUGGUAUACGAUGGUUCCNCGUCUGAUUAGCUAGUUGGUGGGGUAAUGGCCUACCAAGGCAACGAUCAGUAGCCGACCUGAGAGGGUGAACGGCCACAUUGGGACUGAGACACGGCCCAAACUCCUACGGGAGGCAGCAG
rnacentral:rRNA from 1 species